GUGGGGAAUAUUGGACAAUGGGGGGAACCCUGAUCCAGCCAUGCCUCGUGUGUGAAGAAGGCCUUUUGGUUGUAAAGCACUUUAAGCGAGGAGGAGGCUACCGAGAUUAAUACUCUUGGAUAGUGGACGUUACUCGCAGAAUAAGCACCGGCUAACUCUGUGCCAGCAGCCGCGGUAAUACAGAGGGUGCAAGCGUUAAUCGGAUUUACUGGGCGUAAAGCGCGCGUAGGUGGCCAAUUAAGUCAAAUGUGAAAUCCCCGAGCUUAACUUGGGAAUUGCAUUCGAUACUGGUUGGCUAGAGUAUGGGAGAGGAUGGUAGAAUUCCAGGUGUAGCGGUGAAAUGCGUAGAGAUCUGGAGGAAUACCGAUGGCGAAGGCAGCCAUCUGGCCUAAUACUGACACUGAGGUGCGAAAGCAUGGGGAGCAAACAGGAUUAGAUACCCCGGUAGUCC
rnacentral:rRNA from 1 species